rnacentral:tRNA from 1 species
GCCCCCAUAGUUCAAUGGAUAGAACGCGAGCUUGCGGAGCUCGAAAUGUAGGUUCGACUCCUGCUGGGGGUA